GUGUAGCGCAGUACAUAGCGCUUUGGGCUUCUAAUCCAAAGGUCGUGGGUUCGAAUCCCACCUGGCA